CAGCCGCCGCGGUAAUACCGGCGGCCCGAGUGGUGGCCGCUAUUAUUGGGCCUAAAGCGUCCGUAGCCGGGCCCGUAAGUCCCUGGCGAAAUCCCACGGCUCAACCGUGGGGCUUGCUGGGGAUACUGCGGGCCUUGGGACCGGGAGAGGCGGGGGGGACCCCUGGGGUGGGGGGGGAAUCCUAUAAUCCCAGGGGGGCCGCCAGUGGCGAAGGCGCCCCGCUGGAACGGGUCCGACGGUGAGGGACGAAGGCCAGGGGAGCAAACCGGAUUAGAUACCCGGGUAGUCCUGGCUGUAAAGGAUGCGGGCUAGGUGUCGGGUGAGCUUCGAGCUCGCCCGGUGCCGUAGGGAAGCCGUUAAGCCCGCCGCCUGGGGAGUACGGCCGCAAGGCUGAAACUUAAAGGAAUUGGCGGG
rnacentral:rRNA from 1 species